rnacentral:tRNA from 1 species
GGACGGGGAAUGCGGCCCGGUGGCGCAUCUGGACUUCAAAUCCAGCAGAAGGUGCUGAGCAUCUUCGGUGGGUUCGACUCCCACCCCCUCCGCCA